CGGGCUUCAGGGGGUAUGGGAACCCUCUGGAUUGGUAAGCAGAAUGUUGUGGCCUUUCCCUAGAAGAAGGGUCUAGACUUUUAUCCAAUUGUCAAAGAGACCUAUGACCCAGAAAGGUCAGAAACACAAUGGACAAUCUAGU